rnacentral:rRNA from 1 species
CAUGGCGUGGGAGACUCUGUCCUCCUGUUGUGGUCCUACGUCUUUACACACACUCUGUAAUAAAGUCUCAUGGAAUGCANGACGCGUUUAACGCAAUACAAUACAACUUUCAGCAACGGAUCUCUUGGCUCUCGCAUCGAUNAAGAACGCAGCGAANUGCGAUAAGUAAUGUGAAUUGCAGAAUUCAGUGAAUCAUCGAAUCUUUGAACGCACCUUGCGCCCUUUGGCUAUACCGAAGGGCAUGCCUGUUUGAGUAUCAUGAACACCUCAACUCUAANGGUUUGCCAUGAUUAUCUUGGACUUUGGAGGUCUUGCCGGCCUGCGGUUGGCUCCGCACAAAUGGAUCACCUUGCCAGUGUUUGGUGGCAUCAGGGGUGUGAUAACUAUCUACGCCUGUGGUUUUCCACCGGA